rnacentral:rRNA from 1 species
AUUGAACGCUGGCGGCAGGCCUAACACAUGCAAGUCGAACGAGUGGCGGACGGGUGAGUAAUGUCUGGGAAACUGCCCGAUGGAGGGGGAUAACUACUGGAAACGGUAGCUAAUACCGCAUACCAUCGGAUGAGCCCAGAUGGGAUUAGCUAGUAGGUGGGGUAACGUCUAACCUAGGCGACGAUCCCUAGCUGGUCUGAGAGGAUGAACAGCCACACUGGAACGGCGAGACGGGCAAGAUGCGUACGGGAGGCAGCUGGGGGGAUGAGAGGACAUGGGGAGAAAGCCUGAUGCAGCAAUGCCGGGGGUAUGAAGAAGGUCUUCGGGUUGUAAAGUACUUUCAGCGGGGAUGCGUUACUCGCAUAAGAAGCACCGGCUAACUCCGUGCCAGCAGCCGCGGUAAGUC